rnacentral:sRNA from 1 species
UUUCUCCAUCCUAGUAAUCAAAUUUGAGCAAAAUCAAAUGGGGCUUUCUAUGAAAGUACCUUUUGUUGAUCUGAACGAGCUGGUAAUUUACAAAAUACCCUUCCUUUGUGAGGAAGGCUAAAGAAAAAAAGAAUCAGUAGCUUUUAAAGCUGGGCCUUAGUGGGACUCUAAAUGCAAUGAAAGCAGUCUGUGUUGAGAGAUUGAAAUGCAUUUCAAAGCCAGGCCUGACUCGGGGUACAAGGAAGAACAGACCUAUGUGCAUUUUGUAGGAAGAAAACUGUGAAUGGAAAAAGGAGAAGGGGAGAGAAACAGGGGGGAAAUCUGGAUAAUACAUUAAAGUAACCAUAAUUUUGGAGAUGCAUUCAUCUUAUUGAAAAUAUAUUUCCUCAUGGUUGUGAUUCCUCUUCACUCUUUUGAAUUUGGAAGGACGGCAUACACAUCUGAAAAACACCACUACUUCCUUCAUUGGACUGCAAGGUAUUUCUGUUUGGAAAAGUAAUGGAGUCCAGUCAACUUCAUUGAUCUCCAAGGACUGUCAAAAUUAUAAAACUUGCUGUGGAGCUCUGACAUGCCAGAAGCCGCUAGAAAAAGAAGUUUGACAUUCAGAAACUUAUCAAGAGGUUCUACUCUUUGGAUAGAGACCAAAAUAAUACUUUGAAAAAGCCUGACAGGUUUCUUCGGAAAAGUGGCCAUCCAUGGAAUGAAUGAAAUGUUCUCUUUCUAUUCCAUGCAAUGGAAACUUUAGCUAUCUGUGGUCUAGCCUGAACUGUACAUGGGGCAGUGACAAUGGCCUUCUGACCCUAUGGCUCUUCCUGGCUGUGGAUAGAAUUGAUAGCACUUUUUCAAUUUCUCCCUUGUCUUUGCUUGAACAUACUGGAAUUACAACCUCUGACAAAGGGGAUUGCAGUGGCAAAGCUAGGCUAGGUCUUGGAGGCUGGUGUAAGGCGAUGCGGGUGAAGGCAGGAGGCUGAUGGAAAGACUGGGGGGAAGAAAAGCCGAAAUGGAUUCACGGUGCCUUGGAUGAAGGACGAGAGGGGAACUGCAAGCUCCUUCAACUGGUUCUGUCCGGUGAGAAGUGAUCAAGCUUGGGCUGACAAGAGGCUCAGGGAGCCCUCACGUUCUUUCGCUUUUUUACCUGCCAAUCAAACUGCUACAAGACAACACCCUGAUCUGGCAUGGACAUGUAAGUAGCUUGCAACCCAACUUUGACAUUCACUGCUAGCUCACUCCUCCCCCCACCUCACUUUCUUCCCCACUCAUUCUGUUUUUCUUUCUUUUUUUUUUUCUUUUGACCUUUAAGAGAUCUGGAAAUACACCCUGUGUGGCAGUCAUUUAACACUG